rnacentral:rRNA from 1 species
AGCAGUCGCCGCGGGAAUACGAAGGGGGCUAGCGUUGUUCGGAUUUACUGGGCGUAAAGCGCACGUAGGCGGACUUUUAAGUCAGGGGUGAAAUCCCGGGGCUCAACCCCGGAACUGCCUUUGAUACUGGAAGUCUUGAGUAUGGUAGAGGUGAGUGGAAUUCCGAGUGUAGAGGUGAAAUUCGUAGAUAUUCGGAGGAACACCAGUGGCGAAGGCGGCUCACUGGACCAUUACUGACGCUGAGGUGCGAAAGCGUGGGGAGCAAACAGGAUUAGAUACCCCCGUAGUCCCUGUCUCUUAUAC